rnacentral:misc_RNA from 1 species
GUUUUAAAAUGUUAAAGCAAUUAUUUUAAUAGAAGGUUAAUCCAAGGUGAACGUACCUAUGAAACGCGCUUUCUGUGUACCUCGAUGAUUAUUUUUGCUCUGUUAACGUUCCGUAAUAUAUCAAAUUAUAGUAUAUUAUAUCGCACGUAAACAUACGAUAAGAUUUGUAAUAACCUGUUUUCGCCUUGGUUGCGUCAAGCAGAACGGAACAAGGCAGUUUAAAAGAUAUUUUUACGUAAAUAACUAGUUUGACUUUACCGACCGAACUAUCGACCCGCAUCGUACUCUGCUAAAAGGGUUUUUUCUUGUAUGCACUAUAUUUCUAUCUUAAGAAGACCCAGUGUAUAAAAUUCAUUUUACCCAGCAGAUUACACUUGACUGCUUCAUUUAUUUGCUGAUUGUUUCGAAGGCUGGACUCUCGUUUUUAUUUAUCAGUUUGUGUACCCUUGCGGUAUCAGAAUUCAUGUUCAAAGAAUUAUUACUAUAAUGUUUACGUUAAGUAUUUCUCUUUGGGUAACGCUUGUGUUUAUACAAGUCCAGAUUGCGGUGCUGAUUUCACAACAUCCAAAAUUGUUAGUGGUCUCCUAUGAUGGUUUCAGGUAUGAUUAUUUGAUUCGCAAUUUGACUCCUUUUAUGGAUGGCUUAAAGACUAAUGGUACAUAUGCUGAUUACAUGAAGAACAUUUUCAUUACAAAGACGUUUCCCAACCAUCAUUCUAUUAUGACAGGGCUGUACGCCGAAACACAUGGUGUUGUUGAUAACAGUGUACUUGACCCUGAUUCGGGCGAAAUGAUUAAGUAUUCAUAUAAAAUGUUUCAUUACAAUGAAAAAAUAUCUCCAAUUUGGACAAUUAAUGAAAUGGCAAAUAAUGGAAGACGUAGUGGGUUAAUGAUGUGGCCUGGGGGUCACUUCAAGUAUCAGAAUAUCUUUCCCACUUAUGCACAGGACCUUAACAUUUCUGUCUCCUGGGAGCAGAGAAUCGACGUUCUAAUAUCCUGGUUCACAGAUCCAAUUUCUCCGAUAAAUUUUGGAGUAUUAUAUAUAGAAGAACCAGAUUUACUUGGUCAUGCCGUGGGUAUACAUGGAGAUCUCUUCGAUAAAAUGCUUAUUAAACUUGAUCGUAUUACGGAAUAUUUACAUGAUCAACUAGGUCGUCAUGGUCUUACCGACGUUAAUGUUAUUCAUCUGAGUGACCAUGGAAUGGAAAGUGUUACUUUAGAUAGAAUCAUAAAUAUAACAAAUUAUAUAAAUGAUUCUGAUUAUAAAAUAAUCGAAUCUCCAACAACGGUACAUAUAUACCCCAAGAAUGGAAAAGAGGAUCUAAUUUAUCAAAAACUAGCAGUAGUAAGUAAUAAAACGAGGCAUUUCAAUGUUUAUAAAAGGGCUAAUAUACCGCACGAGUAUCAUUAUGGUAAUAACUUGAGAGUGGGCCCUAUCUUUGUCGUGGCUAAUUUGGGUUAUGCAUUUUCAUCUCUUUACAAUUUUAUUCCGGACUAUGAAAAAGCAUACAAUUUCACAGUUAAUAACAAGAGUGAAUUUGGAUUACAUGGUUACGACAAUAAAAUUAAGGAGAUGCAUCCGAUAUUUUUUGCAAGUGGUCCUGCAUUUCAAUCAAAAUGCAAAUUGGAACCUUUCGAUAGCGUAGAUUUACUUCCUUUAUUUUGUGAAGUACUUAAUCUGUCGUGCCCUUCUGUGAAUGGUACGUUGCAACACUUUCGUAAGUGUUUAAAACAGUCGGCAGACAUUAAAUCUUCAACUGUAAUUAUAUUGGCAAUUGUCAUCUGUGCCUUAUUAAUUUUGGGUGGACUCGGAGGUGUACUUGUUCCACAUUAUAUUAGCAAGAUGAAAGGACAUCAAAGGUCGGUUUAUGAAAAUGAUUGGAACGUGUGAUAUGCUGUUGCUUGAUGUGUUGUUGCAUUUUUUAUGCAUUUAUAAGAUUUCCAUAUUAGAGGAUUUCCUUCACUAAGAGACAAUCAAUAAGUGAUCCUGACAUGGAGCGACUUUUAGAGGAAAGUGCUUCCUCGGACUAUGUUUGGCGU